rnacentral:rRNA from 1 species
CGGUAACAGGGGUAGCUUGCUACCCGCUGACGAGCGGCGGACGGGUGAGUAAUGCAUAGGAAUUUACCCGAUAGUGGGGGAUAACCUGGGGAAACCCAGGCUAAUACCGCAUACGUCCUACGGGAGAAAGGGGGCUUCGGCUCCCGCUAUCGGAUGAGCCUAUGCCGGAUUAGCUGGUUGGUGAGGUAAUGGCUCACCAAGGCGACGAUCCGUAGCUGGUCUGAGAGGAUGAUCAGCCACAUCGGGACUGAGACACGGCCCGAACUCCUACGGGAGGCAGCAGUGGGGAAUAUUGGACAAUGGGCGCAAGCCUGAUCCAGCCAUGCCGCGUGUGUGAAGAAGGCCCUCGGGUUGUAAAGCACUUUCAGCGAGGAAGAACGCCUGGCGGUUAAUACCCGCCAGGAAAGACAUCACUCGCAGAAGAAGCACCGGCUAACUCCGUGCCAGCAGCCGCGGUAAUACGGAGGGUGCAAGCGUUAAUCGGAAUUACUGGGCGUAAAGCGCGCGUAGGUGGCUUGAUAAGCCGGUUGUGAAAGCCCCGGGCUCAACCUGGGAACGGCAUCCGGAACUGUCAGGCUAGAGUGCAGGAGAGGAAGGUAGAAUUCCCGGUGUAGCGGUGAAAUGCGUAGAGAUCGGGAGGAAUACCAGUGGCGAAGGCGGCCUUCUGGACUGACACUGACACUGAGGUGCGAAAGCGUGGGUAGCAAACAGGAUUAGAUACCCUGGUAGUCCACGCCGUAAACGAUGUCGACCAGCCGUUGGGUGCCUAGCGCACUUUGUGGCGAAGUUAACGCGAUAAGUCGACCGCCUGGGGAGUACGGCCGCAAGGUUAAAACUCAAAUGAAUUGACGGGGGCCCGCACAAGCGGUGGAGCAUGUGGUUUAAUUCGAUGCAACGCGAAGAACCUUACCUACUCUUGACAUCCUGCGAACU